GAUGAACGCUGGCGGCGUGCUUAACACAUGCAAGUCGAACGGUGAACACGGAGCUUGCUCUGUGGGAUCAGUGGCGAACGGGUGAGUAACACGUGAGCAACCUGCCCCUGACUCUGGGAUAAGCGCUGGAAACGGCGUCUAAUACUGGAUAUGUGACGUGACCACAUGGUCUGCGUUUGGAAAGAUUUUUCGGUUGGGGAUGGGCUCGCGGCCUAUCAGCUUGUUGGUGAGGUAAUGGCUCACCAAGGCGUCGACGGGUAGCCGGCCUGAGAGGGUGACCGGCCACACUGGGACUGAGACACGGCCCAGACUCCUACGGGAGGCAGCAGUGGGGAAUAUUGCACAAUGGGCGCAAGCCUGAUGCAGCAACGCCGCGUGAGGGAUGACGGCCUUCGGGUUGUAAACCUAUUUUAGCAGGGAAGAAGAGAAAGUGACGGUACCUGCAGAAAAAGCGCCGGCUAACUACGUG
rnacentral:rRNA from 1 species